rnacentral:rRNA from 1 species
AGUGAACGCUGGCGGUAGGCCUAACACAUGCAAGUCGAACGGCAGCACAGUAAGAGCUUGCUCUUACGGGUGGCGAGUGGCGGACGGGUGAGGAAUACAUCGGAAUCUACUUUUUCGUGGGGGAUAACGUAGGGAAACUUACGCUAAUACCGCAUACGACCUACGGGUGAAAGCAGGGGAUCUUCGGACCUUGCGCGAUUGAAUGAGCCGAUGUCGGAUUAGCUAGUUGGCGGGGUAAAGGCCCACCAAGGCGACGAUCCGUAGCUGGUCUGAGAGGAUGAUCAGCCACACUGGAACUGAGACACGGUCCAGACUCCUACGGGAGGCAGCAGUGGGGAAUAUUGGACAAAGGGCGCAAGCCUGAUCCAGCCAUACCGCGUGGGUGAAGAAGGCCGUCGGGUUGUAAAGCCCUUUUGUUGGGAAAGAAAAGCAGCAGGUUAAUACCCCGCUGUUCUGACGGUACCCAAAGAAUAAGCACCGGCUAACUUCGUG